rnacentral:rRNA from 1 species
CGCGUAGGUAAUCUACCCUUAUAUUUGGGAUAACAUUGGGAGACUGGUGCUAAUACCGAAUGGUCUUCAUUGCUUUGGGGCGAUGGAGUAAAGGUGGCCUCUUCAUGAAAGCUACCGUGUAGGGAUGAGCCUGCGUACCAUUAGCUAGUAGGUGGGGUAAUGGCCCACCUAGGCUACGAUGGUUAGCGGGUCUGAGAGGAUGAUCCCGCCACACUGGAACUGGAACACGGACCAG